UAGACAGAUUCUGCUUAAGCCUUCAAAAGAAAUUCCAUUUUAGACUAGACACUAAUGUGGAAAACUGGAGACCACAUGACUUCACGUAUCUAGAAGAGACACUGGAGGCAAUCGGGAAGGAAUUCGGUGGUGUGGUCCUUCCACAGUGAGAGGAAAUUUCUGAGAAAAAUCCAGGAAAGAAAGACCCGGAGGUGUGAGAUCACAGUGACUUGAUUCAGGGCAGAAGACAUCUUUAUGUGCAUGCUGAGGGAUGUUGUGGAUCUUGUAGACUGCGUAACCAUCUUUGGGCAAGUUACCCAUGACUUCAUCUGGAUUGAAAAUGACAGGACAUCCCGAUGUGAAGUGACUAAGAGGAGAGCAGUAGGCAGCCUGGCAUCCUCCCAUUCCUCAUGCAGAAGAGGGGGACUUCUCUGCAGAGGAGGAAAAACAAGGCAUCCUAGCUCUCCUGUCUGAUUAGCAUCUACACCCCAUGGCUGCAGGGGGCGACGGUGGAAAGCUUGAACUCGGGCCAGAGAGCAUCACUAGACGUGGAGUGGCUGCUCUUUGCUGAAUGCUCCUAGGCUAGCCAUCUGUGGAAGACACUCUGCAUACACACGAGGAAGUAGCGGCUCCCUGAUACUGUGGACCACGAAGGCAACUUCCAGCAGUAACCCAAAGUCAGAGCGACUGCGAGUGGUAGGUGUUUGGAGCUGAUUCAGGACAACCACAGCAGACACCGCAGCACAACUAAAGACGCACACAAAACAGGACGUCCAGAGCUGCUUCCGAAAGGGGUAAGUAGGGGCAUAAGUAUGUACAAAGCAGGGGUGAUGGUGAGGGGGAUUCGUGGCAGUGUGUCUUUUACUGUCAUCAAUGUUUUAAAUAUACGAAGACAUUUUUUAUCACACUUCAUAUAUUGGUGUCAGUGGUGGCAAUGGAGCCGUCUUAAGGGAUGUAGGGUUUUCAGGAAUUGGAAGCCUUUGGUUUUUAGAAGAGAUUUCAAGAUUUUGUACAACAAUGGCAAGCUAAAUAACAGCACUUAGUAUGUAAAUCCUUUUUCUGCUAAAAUAGUCGUUCCUCCUCUGUCUAAUGAGUCUUGCUCAGUUACUGCCAUGCCUGGAGUAAUUUCCUUGACAGGAAAGAGACUGUUCUCUGCUCCCCAGUGUCUCCAGAUCUGCAGCUAGAGUCCAUGUCCUGAGGUGGGUGGAGAGCUGUUCAUAAAAUAAAACUCAGUAGGACAAAGCUCACGCUUAGAGGACUGAGCAACGUUGCUCGUUUAUAUGAACAAGGUCCUAGAAUUAACGGUAGGGAUUGAUUCUGUGGGUAUUCCAU